AGUGAACGCCGGCGGUAGGCCUAACACAUGCAAGUCGAACGGCAGCACAGUAAGAGCUUGCUCUUACGGGUGGCGAGUGGCGGACGGGUGAGGAAUACAUCGGAAUCUACUUUUUCGUGGGGGAUAACGUAGGGAAACUUACGCUAAUACCGCAUACGACCUACGGGUGAAAGCAGGGGAUCUUCGGACCUUGCGCGAUUGAAUUAGCCGAUGUCGGAUUAGCUAGUUGGCGGGGUAAAGGCCCACCAAGGCGACGAUCCGUAGCUGGUCUGAGAGGAUGAUCAGCCACACUGGAACUGAGACACGGUCCAGACUCCUACGGGAGGCAGCAGUGGGGAAUAUUGGAGAAUGGGCGCAAGCCUGAUCCAGCCAUACCGCGUGGGUGAAGAAGGCCUUCGGGUUGUAAAGCCCUUUUGUUGGGAAAGAAAAGCAGCAGGUUAAUACCCCGCUGUUCUGACGGUACCCAAAGAAUAAGCACCGGCUAACUUCGUG
rnacentral:rRNA from 1 species